ACCAGGGGCGGUACCAAGGGCGGCAGCGACGGCGGUACCCACGGCGGUACCGGGGGCGGUACCGGGCGAGGAUCCAGGUGCCGGGCCGUGAGGUGAUUCAGGGGCGGGGCCGGGCCCGGCACAGGUGCGCGGGGUCUCAGUGCGGCUGCGCGGGCCGGGGCCUAUUUCUAUGCGGCCGAUCCGCUCCCGGCCCGUUCCGUUCGGGAACACUCGUGCUGGGAUGCGGCGGGAUCCUCGUCGGAGCGCUGUGCCAGGGACAGCUCCCGGUUCUGCGCGAAUCCUGGGGCGCUCAGGUCACAGGAUAUGCUGGGAUUGAGAGGGUUCCUAAAAUCCGACUCUCGAGGACACGGCCCGUGGGAGAAUUGAACUCACAACCUUGGCACUACCUGGACUGUGCUCCAACUGACUGAGCCCUCUGCAUCCCAGCUGCGGGGAACGGGGGGCAGGACGAGGCCAGGAGUCCCUGAAAGGCAUCCAGCACCUCUUGUCCUUGGGCCCUCGGGGCAGGGGCUGUGCCUGCAGUAUCCUGCCCCUGCCAAGCGCACGGCCCGUGAUGGGCGCUGGGUGCCCGGCCGGCGCUGGCACGGACACGGCUCAAGGGCUGCCCGUGGCUCCCGGGCCAGGGAGCAGGCUCCUGGAGAUGCUCCAGCCUGGAUACAGGCCACUGACAGCCCAAAAGCAGCCCAAGGAGCAGCUGGCGUGUCCUGGUGAUGGUGGCACGGGCUGCGUGCAGAGGGGCUCAGACAGCAAUUCCUGGUUCCAGCCUCCCAGAGCUCCCAGGCAGCUGCCAGCUAUUAAAUGCCAACCGACAGCCUGCAGAGAUGCCUUCAAAUCAAAGGUUCAGGUGGGAUGAAGUUUUGUUUGGACGAAGGUGGGAGUUUCCAGGGAGCCAGCUGGAAGUGCAGAAGGGAUGGAAAGCUUUCCCAGGUGCUGGACUUGCCUCUGUGGAUGUGCACUGAGCUCUCACUGCAGGGGACUGUCAGUUCUGACUGGCUCUUGAAGAAACUUGAAGAAGGAAUUUGGAUGCUGAGAAGAGCAUCAGUGUGUUCACUGGCAGCACGGGCUGGGAUGAGGGCUGAGCAGGACCCAAGCUGCAGCACUUCAACCAUUCAGCUUUCACCUCCUGUUUUAUCACGGCCUUUAUGAGACAGAUGUGAAUCGAUGAGUCCCAGGCCGAGCCGUGCCCGUGCCCUGUUCUGUCGGAGCUGGUGCUUUCCUGACAGGUUCAGCAGCCACGCUCUGUAAUAAAUACUCCUGGGUCUGCUGCUGUUCCUCUUCCAGCUUUAUAUUCAAUUUUCCACCCCUUCUCUCCUCUCUGUCCGCUGUGUCUUUUGUGUUCCUUUCUUGGCCUGUGUGCUCCCCAUCCCAUUCCCUUUCACUGCUUCACUUUCUCUUGUUCUUCUUUUUCUUUUUUGAAAUGAAUACUCAAAAUUUAUGUAAUAUCUCUUACUCAGUCCCUCUCCCUGUUCUGUCCUACUUUUUGCCUCUCUCUCUGUCUCACUUGCUGCCUGCAUCUUUAUUUCUCCUUUCUUCCUCUCCUUGUCCCUCAGUCCUGCACCGUGACUGUGUUUCUUUGUCCCUGUCACUGUCCCUUUGCCUGUACCUGUGUGCACCUGCUGCCCAGUGCUCCUCCCUGACCGUCCCCUCUCUUGGUGAGCCUCUGUCCUGCUGGCCGUGCCUCUCUGUCUCCGUCCCUGUGCUGCUCCUUGGCCGCGUUUGCCCGCCCCGGCACGUGCCGCGGUCGAUUCCUCUGCGGGUUCUUGUUUCCCUCUUUGUAUCCCUCAGUCCUCGCUGCGUGUUUGGCACCGUGUUUCAUUCUGCGUCCUUCUCCGUGCCUCGCUCGUGUUCCUGUUUUAUUCUGUGUGGCUCUGUGGAGCUCCCCGUGCCGGUGGUUCCCACAGGUGUGUCCCAUUUGCUGUCCCUGUUCUUUUUUAAUCCCUCUCUGUGUGCGGCCCAUUCACCAUCCCAGGUGUUUUUGGAUUUUUUUGUUUUUUUCCAUUUCAUCCUGCGCCUUGAUCUUAGUUUUCUUGCUGUGUCCUCUCUGCUGGUGCUUCCUCUUCUGCCCCUUGUUGCCUGUGUCUGCGGGGCUGAGAAGGAACUUCAGCCCUUCUGGGGGCUGUCCCCCACUUCCUUGCGUGAGCAGAGUCCCUUUUUGAGGGGAUGGACCGUGGGAAGGGUUCGAAUAAAGUGCCGUGCUCCUGCCCGAGGC